GACGAACGCUGGCGGCGUGCUUAACACAUGCAAGUCGAACGAAGGGGCGAACGGGUGAGGAAUACGGAGGUAACCUGCGCUCCUUUAUGGAAUAAACCUGGGAAACGGGGUCUAAUACCGAAUACAGGUUGGUGGGCUCCCGGCUUAUCAGCUGGUUGGGGGGGUGAUGGCCUACCAAGGCGGUGACGGGUAGCCGGCCUGAGAGGGUGACCGGCCACAUUGGGACUGAGACACGGCCCAGACUCCUACGGGAGGCAGCAGUGGGGAAUAUUGCGCAAUGGGCGCAAGUCUGAUGCAGCCAUGCCGCGUGUAUGAAGAAGGCCUUAGGGUUGUAAAGUACUUUCGGCGGGGAGGCGUUACCCGAAGAAGAAGCACCGGCUAACUCCGUGCCAGCAGCCGCGGUAAUAC
rnacentral:rRNA from 1 species